AGCCAUGUGGUGAACAUAAAGCGAACUAUUCUUUCGCCUUUUACUAAAGAACACCGUGUGUUCGUCACGCUAAUAGUGGUGUAAUCUAAUUUUUGUUGGGUUUAAUUUUUUUAAGUUG
rfam:Zostera marina strain Finnish scaffold_42, whole genome shotgun sequence.